ACAAGCAGCGGAGCGUGUGGUUUAAUUCGAUGCAACGCGAAGAACCUUUACCUGGUCUUGACAUCCACGGAAGUUUUCAGAGAUGAGAAUGUGCCUUCGGGAACCGUGAGACAGGUGCUGCAUGGCUGUCGUCAGCUCGUGUUGUGAAAUGUUGGGUUAAGUCCCGCAACGAGCCGCAACCCUUAUCCUUUGUUGCCAGCGGUCCGGCCGGGAACUCAAAGGAGACUGCCAGUGAUAAACUGGAGGAAGGUGGGAUGACGUCAAGUCAUCAUGGCCCUUACGACCAGGGCUACACACGUGCUACAAUGGCGCAUACAAAGAGAAGCGACCUCGCGAGAGCAAGCGGACCUCAUAAAGUGCGUCGUAGUCCGGAUUGGAGUCUGCAACUCGACUCCAUGAAGUCGGAAUCGCUAGUAAUCGUGGAUCAGAAUGCCACGGUGAAUACGUUCCCGGGCCUU
rnacentral:rRNA from 1 species